ensembl:lncRNA
CUGAGCAGCGCUGCUACCAGGGCCAUGGAGCACGCAAGAAGCUUUCCAAACGCGAGUGCCAGUUUCUUCGCAGUUCUACUCGUAUUGCUUCACUUUGUAUUGCUUUAUGCUAUGAGAGCUCAGACUCCAAGGAAAGAAGCUUCAAAAUCGAAAUUUCAUAAAUGUUCUUAAAAUAUUUUGUGGCUUUAAAUAGAUACCUAUGUCCAUAAUAUGGCCAGGUUUGUGGGAAGACACCUUUGAGUUGCAAGGAUCUCUACAAGGAAAAAACAAACAACUGCACACUAAUUUAAGAAGGCAUUUUCCUACCAAUCUUCCACACCGUGGCUACUUAAGUACAAAUGUGAUAACUACCACGAGGGCACCAGGAGGACUGAGGGCUCCUUGGGGGGUAGCAGGGCACAGCCUGGGGCCCAUGAGCCAUCCCAGCACCCAGCCAGGGAGCCCCAACUCCUGGCACAGUGCAGUGGUGGCAGGGCUGAGUCCUCCAUCUUCCGGCCCAGGGCCAAGGGCAGGGUGUGGGACAGCAGGGCUCCUAGUGCCCGCCUGACAGAACCCAUCCACCGCAGGGGCUUUGAGUCAUAGAACCAUUAAGGUUGGAAAAGAUCUCUAGGAUAUUCACGCCCAACCCAUCCCCACCACAUCCGCUGAACCAUGUCCCUCAGUGAGGCAUCUCCGUGGUUCCUGAGUGCACUGUGCACUCCUCAGACACAGCACCUCACUGCACACACACUGCCCUCACCGAGGCACGCUGGCGUAGUUCAUAAAUAUUUCCAACUGAGGAAGCAGAGAACAAUUGCAUCAUUAAGAUUGAAAAGCGCGAUGAAACAGAGGAAAACACUCUGAAUCCCUUAAUGGAAAUGAAGAGGAAAGUGCAGGCUGCCACCUCCUUCAGGGACGGCUACUCCUCAGCAGCAACAGAGCACUGUUAGAGCAACGCACAGCUGAGAGUCCCUGCAGGCUACGACAGGGCUGCCCCUUGCCGAGCCCCAGGCUGUGAGGUGUCUGAAAGCCACCGGCGGCGCAGGGCCGACCCGAGGCUGACCGGAGUGGGUUCAGCAG